UGAUCCAUAGCUUAGUGGUAUAGCAUCUGCCUUGCAAGCAGAAGGGUCAAGGUACAAUUGCCAGGUAGGGCUGGGGCAG